rnacentral:rRNA from 1 species
ACUAAACAGGAUCCCUAGUAACUGCGAGUGAAGCGGGAAAAGCUCAAAUUUAAAAUCUGGCAGUCUUUGGCUGUCCGAGUUGUAGUCUGGAGAAGUGCUUUCCGCGCUGGACCGUGUACAAGUCUCUUGGAAUAGAGCGUCAUAGAGGGUGAGAAUCCCGUCUUUGACACGGACUACCAGUGCUUUGUGAUGCGCUCUCAAAGAGUCGAGUUGUUUGGGAAUGCAGCUCAAAAUGGGUGGUAAAUUCCAUCUAAAGCUAAAUAUUGGCGAGAGACCGAUAGCGAACAAGUACCGUGAGGGAAAGAUGAAAAGCACUUUGGAAAGAGAGUUAAACAGUACGUGAAAUUGCUGAAAGGGAAACGAUUGAAGUCAGUCGCGUUGGCCAGAACUCAGCCUUGCUUUUGCUUGGUGCAUUUUCUGGUUAACGGGCCAGCAUCAAUUUUGACCGCUGGAUAAAGGUGGAGGGAAUGUGGCACCUUCGGGUGUGUUAUAGCCCUCUGUCACAUACAGCGGUUGGGAUUGAGGAACUCAGCACACCUUUAUGGUCGGGGUUCGCCCACGCUUGUGCUUAGGAUGCUGGCGUAAUGGCUUUAAACGACCCGUCUUGAAACACGGACCAAGGAGUCUAACAUGCCUGCGAGUAUUUGGGUGGAAAACCCGAGUGCGCAAUGAAAGUAAAAGUUAGGAUCUCUGUCAUGGAGAGCACUGACGCCCGGACCAGACCUUUUGUGACGGCUCCGCGGUAGAGCAUGUAUGUUGGGACCCGAAAGAUGGUGAACUAUGCCUGAAUAGGGUGAAGCCAGAGGAAACUCUGGUGGAGGCUCGUAGCGAUUUCUGACGUGCAAAUCGAUCGUCAAAUUUGGGGUAUAGGGGCGAAAGACUAAUCGAAACCAUCUAGUAGCUGGGUUCCUGCCGAGU